AACGAACGCUGGCGGCGGGCUUAACACAUGCAAGUCGAACGGCCCGCCCGUGGUUCGGCGGGGUGGUGGGUAGGCGGUCGGGAGAUACCCUUGUCAGUGACCUGCCCUUGAGUUAGGGAUAUCUUCACGAAACGGGGCCUAUUGCGGGAUAGGUUAUCCUGUAGCAUUGUGGGGGCUGGAGAGUUGCGGCGGUUGGGGGUGGACGCGCGGCUAAUCGGCUUGUUGGUGGGGUUGUGGCUUGCCAAGGCUUUGACGGGUAGCUGGCCUGAGAGGCUGACCGGCCACAUUGGGACUGAGAUACGGCCCAGACUCCAACGGGAGGCAGGAGUGGGGAAUAUUGCACAAUGGGCGGAAGCCUGAUGCAGCAACGCCGCGUGCGGGAUGACGGCCUUCGGGUUGUAAACCGCUUUCGCCUGUGACGAAGCGUGAGUGACGGUAAUGGGUAAAGAAGCACCGGCUAACUACGUG
rnacentral:rRNA from 1 species